rnacentral:rRNA from 1 species
AAGAGACAGCAGUCGCCGCGGUAAUACGAAGGGUGCAAGCGUUAAUCGGAAUUACUGGGCGUAAAGCGUGCGUAGGCGGUGAGUUAAGUCUGCUGUGAAAUCCCCGGGCUCAACCUGGGAAUGGCAAUGGAUACUGGCAAGCUAGAGUGUGUCAGAGGAUGGUGGAAUUCCCGGUGUAGCGGUGAAAUGCGUAGAGAUCGGGAGGAACAUCAGUGGCGAAGGCGGCCAUCUGGGACAACACUGACGCUGAGGCACGAGAGCGUGGGGAGCAAACAGGAUUAGAUACCCCGGUAGUCCCUGUCUCUUAUAC